rnacentral:misc_RNA from 1 species
GAUGAAGAACGCAGCGAAAUGCGAUAAGUAAUGUGAAUUGCAGAAUUCAGUGAAUCAUCGAAUCUUUGAACGCACAUUGCGCCCGCCAGUAUUCUGGCGGGCAUGCCUGUUCGAGCGUCAUUUCAACCAUCAAGCCCCCGGGCUUGUGUUGGGGACCUGCGGCUGCCGCAGGCCCUGAAAAGCAGUGGCGGGCUCGCUGUCACACCGAGCGUAGUAGAUUUUAUCUCGCUCAGGGCGUGCUGCGGGUUCCGGCCGUUAAACCACCUUCAUAACCCAAGGUUGACCUCGGAUCAGGUAGGAAGACCCGCUGAACUUAAGCAUAUCAUAAGCGGAGGA